rnacentral:rRNA from 1 species
UGGGCAACCUACCUUAUAGAGGGGAAUAGCCUUCCGAAAGGAAGAUUAAUACCGCAUAACAUUGCAGUUUCGCAUGAGGCAGCAAUUAAAGGAGAAAUCCGCUAUAAGAUGGGCCCGCGGCGCAUUAGCUAGUUGGUGAGGUAAAGGCUCACCAAGGCGACGAUGCGUAGCCGACCUGAGAGGGUGAUCGGCCACAUUGGGACUGAGACACGGCCCAGACUCCUAGGGAG